rnacentral:tRNA from 1 species
AAAAUUAUACAUUUAUUUUUUUUUAAUAGAUAAUAAUU